GGAAUUCGGGAGAAGAAUGGCUAUUUUGAAGUUGUUCGUGUGCAGUAUCUUGGUCUUGCUUUUGUCUGCAAGGACCCAGCCUCGCCCUCUCAAUCCACAUGUAGAAACCAGGAACCUAAGCACAUCAUUCCAAGCCUCCAUCAAAGUAUCCAGAGAAGCAUUUGAGGUAAAAAUGAAUGGAGGAAAUCCAAUGAAAACUGAGAACGGCAAGCCUGUUCGAUUGAGUCCUGGAGGACCUGACCCUGUGCAUCACCCUUAAAAUAACUAAGAUGGAACUUUCACUUGUACCAGUGUUUUGUAAUGCUGCUUAUGAUUUUAUGCAUGUAUUUCCGAUAAUUUAGCCAUGGUUGAAAUAAAUGCAUUUCCAUCUUACUAAAUUGCUUCUUGAUGUUUCUAAAUUUUUCUUUUCAAGAUAUGGGAAUGGAAAGGAAGCAGUCCUAAAAACGUUAUCAGCUUCUUUGGUAAUGAUCUUAUCCAUAUUAUACAAAAAGACAAGGAGAACAAAGAAAACAUAAGCAAUGAUCAACUAGCUAAUUGAAUUUACACUUAGAUUUCCAUAUUCUAAUCCAUCCUUCAAAUUACAAAGCAUCAUUUUAGUCCACAUACUAUAUCCAAUUAUGUAAUAUAUAUCACCUAUUGGUGAAUAUUUCCUGGCCAUUGUACCAUAUCAAUUCACAAAAAAUACCCAAGCAAUUAGAAGAACAUGUGUGGACCCUAGGAUCUGCAAUGCAUGCGUGUGAAGUGCUAAGAAUAGAAACUGUGUACUACCCUCAAAAUGUGCUAAAUAUCAAGCAAAGAGUUCAUGAUCCAAGGGCUUUUCAAAGACUUACUUAAUCAGAGAUCAAUGAGCUGAAAAGCUGGUCAUGAUUAGCAUAUCUAGUUGGUAUAUGAAUUCUAGGCAAGUAAUGAUCUUGGACAAUGUCCUGUCUUUUUAUCCUGAGAACCUAUAAGGUUUGGGGCUUGGGGAAUAUUGGUGGCUUAUCUUUUAAGUCCAGGUAGUGAUCACCUGAGAAAAGAAAGAAAAGUACUUUGAACCACCACUCUUCUUCCUACUUUGUCGGAAAACAAAUCUUUUGUGGAAAAUGAAUGGUCCCGUAAGUAAUUUACACCUAGCCAACCCAUCUAGAGAAUGAUAUAUCAAGUGUGGUUGAUUACGUGGGAAUAAACAGAACACCGAUGGGGACAACUGAUGAACUUGAUUAGGCAUAGUCCAAUUCUUCACGACCAGGUGAGGUGGUGGAAAGAAAAGCAUUUGCACCGAUUAGUUUCUCUAAAGAUCCAAUGACAUAGAAUAUAACUUUUUACAAAAUUAAGGUCAUUUGCCCUUUCAGAAAAGCAGAGCUGUAAAUAGCAAUAAUUGAGAAAAGAGAUUUUAGUUGAGAAGCUACAGCAGAAACAAAUGCCAAGCCACAUAUUAUUUUUCUAAGCUAGCACCCACAAAAGUUCAUAUCCUCGGAUCUUUAAACUUUAACAGGAAUGAGCUUCCAAAUAGUUAGGCAGGGGGAGUACAUGGCAGCAGUGUUGCUUGAACCCCUUUUCCUCUCCACCGUUCACUCUGCUUUAAUCAAGUUGCCUAUGAUCCUUUUGGAGAGUAUUCAAAAAGGGCCAUCGUUGUUUUUUUCAGUGUCAACUUAGUUUGGCAAUUACUAUGCAGACAAGACCCAAACUUCAAAAACUCGUGAUUUUGUACACAUUCGGGACAUAGAGUAAGGGUGGGGUCAAGGGAUAGGGAAGCAGCCAAAAGUUCAAGACAUGUGCAACAGGGAAAGAGAAUUUUAAAGCGGCCAUAUCCAUCUUAUGCAAGGCAAAACCUUUAGGCUUUCCAACAUCACAAGCUCACAAGAUGCCAAGUUCUGUUACAAGACAAGCACGGGCGGCGUUCAAUACGACAACCACACACAAGGGCACACUCCAGUCCAAACCAGUCACUAAAAACCACGAGACUAUGUUCUUUUGAAUCACUUUCCUCUUAGCAGAAAGCCAAUUGAAAGGACAUGUCCUUUUUAUAAGAUUUGCUGGAUUUUGUUUCACGAUAUAAAUAUACAGUGCAAAAAUCUAGAUAAGAUCCUAUAUGAUAACGAGAACUGAUAAGAUUGUAUAAUAAUACACUAUGCCCUUUUUCCUUUCAUGGGUGGUGGGGAAAUCCUUCGUUGAUGUUAUACAGUUAUUGACAAGUAAGGGCAAAUAGGACUGCUCUUUCUAAAGGAUACAUACUAGGAUUUAGAAGGCUGAAUUCAGGAUGCCACAACUGUCUAUAUAAAAUUAGUUCUGAUCUACGUUGGGGGCUUGGAGCAGAGUUUUGGCUGAUACUUUGAAAUUAUAUGAACAACCUCUACUAGAUCAUUGGACAAUUUAGGGUCACAAAACGGGAAAAUUUUGUACAGAAACUUGAGCCUUGCUCUCAUCACAAUGAAUAAAUGAUAUCGAAUAUGUUAUGGGUAUGCAACACCAUGAUGUUCCUGAAUGUAAGCAGAGGAUAAACAGGUUGCUUAAGAAGAUAAACGAGAAGCUUUUAUUUUUUGUUUUUUGACAUGGGAGGAUAACCUGAAGUCAUUGGUUUUCUUGAUAAAACUAAUGCCUGACUACUUGAGGUUUAAAUAUUCCUAAUUUUUUACAAGAAAGUGCCCCUCUUUUAGCAUCUUUAAUUAAGCAGGCUCUGUAUCCCUUUUGUAAUUUGGAAAUUCAGUUGUAGAAGAAGCAAUAUGGAAUUAAUGAAAGUAUGACCUAAUAAAAUUUGGCAUAUUUAUGCUUUUGUUUUGUACCUUAAAGUGUUAGAUGUCCUUAUGUGGUACAUCAAUUGUUAAAUUUGGUCGUACAAUAUCUUUGAGAAGUAUCCAAGGAUAUGCAAAAUAAACUACAGAAGGUGACUAGAUGGACAACAUAAAAAUACAUUUGGUAAGGCAAACAAGGGGAGGCAAAGAGGAAGGAGAAAAGCACAGAAGCACCAAGGUGCUGAGUGGGGACCAAGGUCGUUUGCUUUGACUAAUCUCAGGUAAUGGGCUAACACAAGAAAGCAGCAAACUCCAUGACAAGGAAGACAACAAUCUGUGCUGGAUUUGUCAGCAUGUAAACUUGGAUUUUUUCCUUGCAUAUGCAUUAUAAGUUUCCGCUCAUGUGACUUGGAAUGCUACUUCAUCCAACCCAUUUUGCUCAACCUACCCUGCUGUCCUCUUCAGCUAGUCUGUUGUGCAUAAUGACUAACUCUACUUCCAUUCGAGUUCCAAUAUUGAUCCUAGUCCUUUUAUUAAUGCAUAUGACAAGUUCAGAAGCACGGACUUUUCAGUUCAGAGUCAGAUUACGCAUAAAAGAGUGGAUAGCAGUUCUAUUUUACGUGAUUUGUUAAUGAUGAGGUAUAAAUAUAAUUACAGGAGAGCAAUGGAGGAAGUGGGACCCAAUAGACUUAGGCCAGGAGGGCCAGAUCCUCAACAUCACUCUUAACCUCCAACGGUUUCCUAGAUAACCACCAGUAUCGGAGGGAGCAUUCGGUUGCAUGGAGAGCUCUACACUGUGUGCACUAAUUUCAGGGUAAAGGUUUAUUGCAUCUGUUAUUGUAGGAGCCAUAAUCUAGACUAUAAUGUGUGUAAAAUGCAAUUGCAUCUGUGUCUUCUGAGUGUAGUCCAGAUGAAGCUAGCACAAGAGAAUUUCCCAGCUUCACUUUUUGCAUACUGCAGUUUCAUCUCCUAUAAUAUGAUAUUUCAUCUUUCUCUUAUUAUAUCCUCCUCAUUUUUAUGUUGUGGUUCACAGUUUCCAUAGUUGCAUAUGGUUGUAACUUGAACCCUCAUCUGUAAUAAGAUUCUAAAACUGAAAAACUAUAGUAUAAAACAAGUUUGGACUUCCAAGCCAAAGUCACAGUGAAUUUCUAAUAUGAACCUUUUUGUGAGCAUAUCCUAACAGGAAGUCCACUAAUACAAAUACUUUGGCUCAGAUUUUAAAUAACUUGUCACGGAUCUUAAAUCACAACAUCUAUGAGGAAAAAAAAGGGCAAACCCUUUAAAGAAACAAUCAUUUACAACUAAAUUAGUCCUCUGCACUGAGUCUUUAAAAUAUUUGGCCCAAUAUCAUUCUUCAAGGAUCAAAAUCAAACAACGAAAAAUAAGAGAAUCAAAUCAAAACUAGAGAUAACAUUAAAUAGAUCCCUUGCUAAUUCAAUUAAUAAGACAAUUAAGGGAAAUAAAAUAAAAUAAAAUGACAUUAUAUGGUAGAUGUUAGAGAGAGAGAUAAAGAGAGGAAUGAUACAACACCAAGAGCUUUAUGGGUAGGGACCUUGCACCCAUGAGGACCCAAGGACUGAAGCAAGGUGGAAACGAGGCCUACAAUGGGUCAUGAGUGGACUUGGUGGUGACUAGAGGGAAAACACACAUUGCUAACACUGUGUGGUAGCACACAACACACGAUACAACACAUCCUAGCACGUUGCAAUAUGUUGCAACACAUUGCCAUAGCAUGUUGUGGAACAUGACCCUAGCAUGUUGCAGCAUGUGGUGUAGCACCUGGCAAGACUAGAUUCUGACAAAAUUCAAGUGUUGAAUUUUGAGAUGUAGGUAUUUUCCCCCUAAAGAUGAAGCUGUGAGAUGGAGCCUCCAAGUAGAAAUUUUGAUUUUUCAAAUUUCCCAUAAUUAAUGAAAAAAAUCAUAAUGCCUCUUUAAGCACCCUCAUGUCUAUAAUUUUUCAGAAAUGGCUAGAAAUGCUCUUUGAGGAGGGGGGGUGCAUGACUUAAAGAAGCCAACACAACUUGAGCUUGGCCACACCAAGGGGGCAUGAUACGAGGCCUCAAAUUGGAGCAAGGCAUGCACAUAGAUGAACCUUGCUAGCACCACCAUGUGGUGGUGAGUAACAACAUGAUGUGUUAGGAUAGAGCUCUUAAAAGCAUGACGUAAUGUAACGGAAUAAGCUUUCAUUAAUAUAUUUAUAUAUUAUGAUUUUUUUUAUUUCCCUUUUAUCCUUGAUUGCAUUAUUUAUUGUUUGAGCAUUCAUGCCUAUAUCAAUUUUGCAUGACUUAUGUGUAUUAGGAUUUGCAUAGAAGAUCCAAUUUAUAGGUUCUUUACAAGAUAAUAAUUUGUUCAUAGUCAGAUCAUGAAAUUAAGUAACUUAUCUGAGACUAUAGGACACUACCUCUUAACUAAAAGUAUGACUUGUCUUGACCAUUGGUAUAAGUUUCCCAUGAUGAAUGUUCUAAUAUUUAUGGUUACACACUAGACAUGACUUAUGAUGGAUCAUGAUGUUGGCUAUUAAGUAGUCAUGAUUCACUAAACUACUAUACUACAUGAGCUAUCAACCUUGAGAGAAUAUCAAGCUAGUGUUAAAGUCUUCAAUCGUAUUAACCUAUAGGCACCUAAGCCUAAAGACACAAGGUUAUUACCUUCUUAGAUAAUUGCUCAAGCUUUCAUGAGUCUUUUUUUUUUUCUUUUUUCUUUUUAAUAUCCUCCAUCUCUUGUUGCAUAAGAACAAUGUCUUUUAAGCUAAGGAAAUUAUCUUAAUUAGGAUAUCAUAAUAGUAGACAUGCUCUGUGUGUGUCAUAAGUUUUAAGCAAAAAAUAACCCUCAAAAGAAAAUUUUAAGGUAUCCUAAUCUUUCAACCUAACUACUUUUACUAUCAAAUUUAAAAAAAGAGAAGGUAAGUAAACUAAUCCUUUUGCUCUAACCAUGUCUCUUCUCAAAUUUUAAAGAAAAAAUCCUACUUAAAAAAUUCUCAUGUAAACCAAUGAUGAUUGGCUACUAGCUUUUAUCUCUAUAUUUUUUUAGGAAAAUUAUGAUGUUUAUAACAAAGCUUUCUUCAAGGAAACUAAAGACUCAACUGAAGAGAAACCAAGGGAAAAAGUUAAAGUUAAAGACAAUCAAAUUGUUGUAAUAAGUAAAAAAGUUUUAUUUGAAAAUUUUGUUUUAAUUCUUUAUCAAAGUUGAGCAAAUAUAUUUGAUAUAUUUGGUUUUUGAAACAAGUUGUGAUGUGCUCUAUUUUGGUUGAGAUCUAUAUUCUUGUUGAAACUAACUUGUUGUUGCAACUUGAGAAAUAUGGAGAAGUGUUGAAAGCACUGAUAUAAUUUAUGGAAAAGACACUAGAUGGCCUGAAAUAAAGGUAAAGAAAUAAAAAACAACAAUAGGAAGGAAUGGUCCUUAAGUGAGAAUCCCUAAAGGAAGAAGGGUAAAGUACCUUAUGCUAAAAGACCCAAAACAUUCAUGAGAAAAUCCAUUCAUGGAUUAAUGAGGGGCAUGGUGGCAUAUUGUAGACCCUCCAUUUUGUUCUCUUGGCACAUGAUACUCAAGUCAACCAUCAUUCAUCCUCUGUUACUUGUUUGUGAUCUUAGGGUCCUUGUUUGAGUUAUUUUUUUGAGUCCUCACUAGUGGUCCACUAUGACUUUUUCGUCACUAUCUUUGGACUUUAUUUGGAGAUAUCUUAGAGAGCUUUUCAGGGAUCCUUGAUGUGAUUGCUUAGUGACCUUUGAUCUUUUUAAGAUUUAGUUUGUUUGAGUAUAUUUAGAUUUGACUCAAUUUUUCUAGGGCAUAGUUUUAAGAUUAGAUAAGUUGGAUUUGAUUUUGAUUUUUUGUGCAUAAGAAUAUUUGAUUAUACUAGUUUGAUAUUUUUAAUUGUUAAUGGUAAUAGUUUUUAAUUUUUAAUUUUUGGUUACAUAAAAUUUAUUAUUAAUUUUUAAUUGCAUGCUAAUGUAUUUAAAUUUUGCAUGAAAUGAACUUGGAUUUUGGUUAGUGUGUGAUUUACAUUAAGGAUAAUAAUACAUAGGCUUUCUUUGCAAGGUCACAUGGAGGAGGACAUAACAACCACGCCAGUUGGAAGUUCAUGCAUGCAUCGUAUCCAUGUGAUCACAUGCCUGUGAGAGUGUGAGGGGUUUUUUUUCACAUUGGUUUUGAGAAACCUCUAGAAGGGAGAAUUGGGAGUGAAAAACACGUGAACUUGGGGAGCAUCACCACAUGCCAUGCAAGGAACCUACUGCUAAUGACGUUUCUCAACUGCCAUGCAUUUGGUGAGGUGGUUUUUGUCAAAAAUUGCUCAUAUAUAUUUUUCAUAUAUUUCUGUACAGAGAUGAGUAUGGUUAUAUAUUAAUACAAAGAAAAAAAAUAGAAGCUAAAUUAGGCUAUACACAAAUUACGCCUACUAUAAUAGUUGACCCUUAAAAGAACGGAUUCUAACAAAUCUGGCCUACAAUUUUUCCAAUCAUUGAUAGCUCACGCCAACACUCCCCCUCAAGUUGAUGCAUAUAUAUCUUUCAUGCGCAACUUGUCAAGUGAGAUGUAGAAGACUUUGUCAGAAAUAACCUUUGUAAGAAUGUCUGCCAAUUGAUCUUCAGGCCGAACAAAUGGAAAUCGAAUUAUCUUUUCUUCGAGAUUCUGUUUGAUGAAAUUUCUAUCUACUUCCACAUGUUUAGUACGGUCAUGUUGGACUGGAUUAUGGGCAAUAUCAAUGGCUGCUUUGUUGUCACAAAACAGGCCUAUUUCAGAACUGGGAGCAAAGCCAAUCUCAAUUAGUAAACUUUUAAGCCAAAUGAGUUCACAUAUGCCCUUGACCAUUCCUUUGAACUCAGCUUCAGCACUAGACAAUGCCACCACUUUUUUGCUUUUUGCUUUUCCAUAACAAGAUUUCCUCUUAUGAAAGUAAAGUAACCUGAUGUGGAUUUCCUGUUAGAAAUAUUUCCAGCCCAAUUUGCAUAUGUAUAAUCCUCAAUGUCUAGAUGAUUAUUUUUCCAGAACAUAAACCUUUUUCCAGAAGAGGACUUUAGGUAGCAAAGAAUCCGAAUUACUGCAUCCAUAUGAUUUUCACUAGGACAAUGCAUAAAUUGACUCACUAUGCUUACAACAUAGGCUAUAUCUGGGCGAGUAUGAGAUAAAUAAAUUAGCUUACCCACUAAUAUUUGAUAUCUCUCUUUAUUUGUUGGCACCUGAUCUGAAUACUCUCCAAGUUUAUGAUUCUAAACAAUUGGGGUCUCAACUGGUUUACUGUCUAGUAGUCCCACUCUAGACAACAGAUCUAACACAUAUUUCCUUUGAGAAAGAAAUAUACCUUGCUUCGAUCUGGUUGCCUCAAUUCCCAAAAAAUAUUUGAGUCCUCUGAGGUUCUUCAUUUCAAAUUCAGUUGCCACUUACCCUUGAAGUCUAGAGAUCUCUUCGAUGUCAUCUCCUGUAAUGAUCAUGUCAUCUACAUAUAUAAUUAGAGUUGUUACCUUUCCUAGUCGGUGUUUCAAGAAUAGAGUAUGAUCUGAAUUGCUUUGGGUAAAACCAUACUUUCUCAUAGCUAAGCUAAACCAACCAAACCAUGCAUAGGGCGAUUGUUUUAGUCCGUACAGUGCAUUUUAUAACUUACACACAACCUCAAUCUUUCAAGAUGUCAUGUAUCCUGGUAGAAUAUCCAUGUAAACUUCCUCCUUUAGAUCACCAUGAAGAAAUGCAUUCUUUACGUCAAACUGAUGUAAUGGUCAAUUCAAAUUUGCUGCAAGAGAUAACAAGACUCUGACCGUUUUUAGCUUUGCCACAGGUGAGAAGGUUUCUUGGUAGUCUAUGCCAUAUUUUUGUGUAUAUCCCUUUGCCACAAGCCUUGCCUUGUACCAUUCAAUGGAUCCAUCUGCCUUGUGUUUAAUGGAGAAAGCCCAUCUGCACCCCAUUGUCUUCUUUUCUUUCAAUAAUGGAACAAGAGCCCAUGUUUUACUCUUCUCCAGAGCUUCCAUUUAUGCUUUUAUGGCUUGAGACCACUUUGGAUUUGAUAAGGCUUCUUGUACUGUGCUGGGAACAUGGUAUGAGGAUAGCCUAUGCACAAACUCCUUGAGUGGUUCUGGUAAUCCCUGAGUAGACACAUAAUUGGCAAUCGGGUAUCUUGAUUUUUUUUUUCUCAAAAUUUGGAGUGUACCGAUGUGGUGGCUUGCCACGAUUGUGUCUAAAAGGUAAAGUAUAACCAAUAGAGUUAUCCAAGUCAUUAAUAAGUGUGAUGGGAUAGCUUACCUCAGGAGUAUUCUUAGGAAAAUGGGCUUCGGGUACUGAGGAGUGGGGUUCUUCAUUUUUAGGUUUAGGUGACUCGGAUGGAGCUUCCUGAAUGAUAUCAGGAUUAUCUCUCAUUUCUUCACUAACCACUGCCUCAUUGCCAUCACUCAUCUGUACCGGGUUGUCUUCAAAGCCUUGCCAAGUCCACCAAUUCAACUUUUCAUCUCGUAUUUCCCCCCUGAAGCGAUGAAGUGGAUACUUGAUUACUACCAAAAAGUGCUAUUUUGUAGACCUAAUUAUAAUGGUUUUAAGCACCUUUGAGUAGUAAUCAUAUUCAUUUAACCCAAUUAAUUCAUUAAGGUCCUUAGUAAUUGGUUUUAACCAUUUUGUGGCAAGUUUACAUAUUUUUAUCAGCUUAUGAAUCAAUUCAAGCAUGCCAAAUGAUGGAGGAGCUACUUGGACAAGUUAUGGCAAAGCUUUUGGAAGCUCAAAUUCAUGAAGAACCAAGCUUUGGAGCUCCAUAACCCUUUGCCAAAGUCGUUCAAAGUGUGCAAGGAAAGAAUAACAGAGAGAGGAAAAACAGAGUGAAGAAAACAGAGGAAAGCCAGCUGCAGUCUUCUUUUGCACUUUUGGAGCACUUCCUGAAGUCCAUUUUCUACAUUCUAUAUACCAUUUCAAAGCUCAGGAAGUCAAAAAUCCAAUGCUUCAAACGGAGCGCGAUUCGGAGUUGAAACGAAGGAGUUAAAGCCAUUGCAAGCAGAUCACUCCAAAGUGUUGCGAAAUCAGCCUUUUGUUGCGAGAAUUUCGCAGCCUUUUUGUACAGUGCUAUGGAAUUCCUCCUGAAGCUACCCGAUACAUGGCGCAAGCUGGAACGCUGAGAACCUCAAGGUGGAAGCCAAUUUCGCAGCCCUGCGAGUUUAACUUGUUGUUGCGAAAAUAUUUCGCAGCCCUCUUGAGUGUCUGCGAAAUCUCGCAGACACCAUUUUCACCUGCGAAAUGUCCUUAGUGCUUCCUGAUAUUUGUGCACCGACUCUUUUAGAUCUUUUCUUCAGAUAUUUUUGUAUAAAUUUCCAUUCUUCUCCUUGUAAGCCACCAACCAUAAGAUUUCUUAGCUAGGAAGGUUGGAAAAACUCCUCUAUAUAUAUUCCCUUGCAUCCAAUGUAAAAUAUAUAUAUCAUGUAAUCCCAUAUAUAAAAUCAACGAACAGAGCACUUGCUCUGUUUUUCAUAUAUAUUCUUGUUUUUCCUUCUCUUUCAUUUUUCAUUUCUUUUUAUUUCUAGCCAACCAAACUCUGAGGAUGAGAGGCUAAGCUUUUUGUCUCUUGGAGUAAGGAAAGCCGGGUAAGUUUCCACAUGCAUAAUUUGGAAGUUUUGUUGUUUUAGUUUUUAAUGAAGAGAAAGUGUAACCCGUUAAUGGUUUUUAUCUUUUUAGUUAACUUAAAACGCCUUUAAAUCACCUGGGUCAACACUUGGUAAGGCAAGUGAUUUCCAACCAUGGAAAUGCACUAGUUUACCCCUUGCGAGCCUCUGGGAGGUGACUUUAGGGUAGGAUUUUCUAGAAUAGCCAACACUUGGUAAGCUUUUGGACUCCAAGGAGACAUCCAUUAGUUAUCUCUUGCGAGCUUUUGACGGGUAAUCCAAGGUUAAAGAUCACCUUGAAUGGCAAAUGCUAGGUGAGAGGCACGAGUCAUUGCAAGUUGCAUCAGUGAGAAGGAUUUAGUGUUUGAACCCAUUAAUGGGAAGCAUUUAUACAACACCGGUUGGAGAAGGAACUAUAUGUUAAUUCUCUAAUGCAAGGAAAAGAAACAAGUGACCGGAACUCCCUUUUUGUAUGAGGAAUCUGAGCCUAGUGAUCUGAACUCCAAGAAACACUUUUCUUUGUAAGUAAAAUCAGUUACUAUUUUUGGUUAGUUUAAAACCAAGCCUUUUUCUUUCAAACAUCUUUAUGUUUUCUUUUAAAGCUAACCUUGAAAUGAAAAGGCACCAAUUCAUCUUUGAAUUAAUAUCAUUUGCAAAGUGAAAACUCAUCCCAGUGAACGAUCCUAGAGUCACUAUGCUAUAGUAGCUUUGUCUUUGCUACCCUAGUAUAUGGUGUUAUAGGUUAUAAAUUUUGUUGAUUACUCCCUCAAUCAAGGAGCACCAGCUGGACACGAAUCAGCUGAGACACCAAUUGGGCAUGAAUCAAAUGGCGCCGUUGCCGGGGAUCGAACCCUGAAUCAAAUGGUGUCGUUGCCACUGCCGCUGCUAGGGACGAAUCAAUACUGAUGAAGGGACGAAAGUUUCUGAUUCUAAGAAAGUAACAUCCAUAGUGAUGUUGGUGCGCUUGGUGGCAGGGUGGUAGCAACGAUAUCCCUUUUGGUGUGUAGCAUACCCCACAAAGAUACACCGAACAACACACGGAUCAAGCUUAGUUCGUUGUUUUUUAUGGAGAUGGACGAAAGCGACACAACCAAAGAUUCGUGGUGGAAGUAGCAAGAUAGUAGGCAAGGAAACAUGUUCAGAAAGAACCUGCAAUAGGGUCUUGAACUGUAGUACUUUCGAAGGCAUGCGAUUUAAUAGAUAUACUGCCGUGGCAAUAGCAUCAUCCCAAUAUCUACUUGGCACAUGUGCUCCAAGCAAGAGAGCACAGGUUGUUUCUAGGAUAAGUCGAUUCUUCCUUUCGGCAACCGAAUUUUUUUAGGGUGUUUGAGCACAUGAAUUUUCGUGAAGAAGGCCAUGGGUUGCAAAGUAAUCCUGAAAUUUCUUAUUGACAUAUUCACCACCAUUGUUAAAGCGAAGGAUUUGAAUAUUAGCUGAAAAUUGAGUUUGAAUCAUUGUAUGAAAAGAUUGAAACACACUAAACACAUCAUCCUUAUGUUUCAACAUAUAUAAAGUACAAUCAUUGAUAAAUGUCACAAACCAGCGAAUGCCAAAAGAUGUGGUAAUUGGAGAGGGUUCCCAAACAUCUGAAUGAAUUAAAGCAAAAGGAAUAUCACUUUUAUUCAAACUUGUGGAAUAAGAAACAAGGUGAAUUUUGGCUAGAAUGCAAGUGUCACAUUUAAAGUCAGAGUCAGGUAAUUUGGAAAAUAAAUCUAGAAACAAGUAUUUCAUAUAGCUAAAUGACGGAUGCCCCAAGCAUCGAUGCCAUAACCAAAUCCGUCUCUUCUUAAUGCUUGCAUGGUGCAUAUGAUGAGCCUGACUAGAGCUGAAGUCAUCCAUGUAAUAUAACCCUCUCUUCUUAGUACCAUGCCCAAUGAUCUCCUUGGUGAGAAUAUCCUGAAGAAGACAAAAAGUAGGAUACAUUAGUGUAACCCAAUUUAUUUCCUUAGUAACUUGUCCUACAGUCAUCAAUUUAUUUGAAAGGGAUGGAACUAAUAAAGUAUUAGAUAAAGAAAGAGAUGGUGAUACGUCAAUAGUUCCAGCCCUUGUAAUUGGAUAUGUAACCCCAUUAGCAUUCGCAAUAUCAAUUCGCCUUGGUUGGGUAACUUCAAUAAAAUCAUCUGAAUUGAAUGUCAUAUGAUCUGUGGCCCCGGAGUCAAUUAUCUAGCCAUUGUCACCAUCCUGGAUAGAACUUAGUAGAGCAUAACCAUGAUUACUACUCAAAAAGUGCUAUUUGAUAGCUUGUAAUUAACUCUUUUAAACACUUUUGAGUAGUAGUUAUUGUCUUUUAACCCAAUUAACAUGUUAAGGACCCUUGCAAUCAUUUCUAAUCAAAUUGUGUAAGUUUUGGUGUUUUUGUUAGUAAUUUGAUCACCAAAACAAUCCAAGAAUGAGGGAGAGCUGUAUAUAGUUCAUGGCAAAGCUUUUGGAAGCUCAAAUUCAUGAAGAAACCAAGCUUUGGAGCCCCAUAUCCCUUUGCCAAAGUCGUUCAAAGUAUGCAAGGAAAGAGCACUGGAGAGAGGAAAAACAGAAUGAAGAAAACAGAGGAAAGCUAGCUGCAGUCUUCAUGCACACUUUUGGAGCACUUCCCGAAGUCCAUUUUCUACAUUCUAUAUACCAUUUCAAAGCUCAGGAAGUCAAGAAUCCAAUGCUUCAAACGGUGCAUGAUUCGGAGUUGAAACGAAGGAGUUACAGCCAUUGCAAGCAGAUCACUCCAAAGUGUUGCGAAAUCAGCCUUUUGUUGCGAGAAUUUCGCAGCCUUUUUGUACAGUGCUAUGGAAUUCCUCCUGAAGCUACCCGAUACAUGCCGCAAGCUGGAACGCUGAGAACCUCGAGGUGGAAGCCAAUUUCGCAGCCCUGCGAGUUUAACUUGUUGUUGCGAAAAUACUUCGCAACCCUCUUGAGUGUCUGCGAAAUCUCGCAGACACCAUUUUCACCUGCGAAAUGUGCCUGAAGCUUCCCGAUAUUUUUGCACCGACUCUUUUAGAUAUUUUCUUCAGAUAUUUUUGUAUAAAUUUCCAUUCUUCUCCUUGUAAUCCACCAACCAUAAGAUUUCUUAGAUGGGAAGGUUGGAAAAACUCCUCUAUAUAUACUCUCUUGCAUCCACUGUAAAAGGGACGCUCGGAGGAUAUAUGUAAUCUAAUAUAUAGAAUCAGAGAACAGAGCACUUGCUCUGUUUUUCAUAUAUAUUCUUGUCUUCUCUUUCAUUUUCAUUUUCUAGCCAACCAAACUCUGAGGAUUUUUCCACAGAGGAUGAGAGGCUAAGCUUUUUGUCUCUUGGAGUAAGGAAAGCCAGGUAAGUUUCCACAUGCAUAAAUUGGAAGUUUUGUUGUUUUAGUUUUUAAUGAAGAGAAAGUGUAACCUGUUAAUGGUUUCUAUGUUUUUAGUUAACUUAAAACACCUUAGAGUCACCUGGGCCAACACUUGGUAAGGCAAGUGAUUUCCAACCAUGGAAAUGCACUAGUUUACCCCUUGCGAGCCUCUGGUAGGUGACUCCAAGGUAGGAUUUUCUAGAAUAGCCAACACUUGAUAAGCUUUUGGACUCCUAGGAGACAUCCAUUAGUUAUCUCUUGCGAGCUUUUGACGGGUAAUCCAAGGUUAAAGAUCAUCUUGAAUGGUAAGUGCUCGUGAGAGGCAUGAACCAUUGCAAGUUGCAUCAGUGAGAGGGAUUUAGUGUUUGAACCCAUUAAUGGGAAGCAUCUGUACAACACCGGUUAGAGAAUUAACUAUAUGUUAAUUCUCUAAUGCGAGGAAAAUAAACAAGUGACCGGAACUCUCCAUUUUGUAUGAGGAACGAGCCUAGUGAUCUGAACUCCAAGAAACACUUUUCUUUAUAAGUAAAAUCAGUUACUACUUUUGGUUAGUUUAAAACCAAAUUCUUUUCUUUCAAACAUCUUUAUGUUUUCUUUUAAAGCUAACCUUGAAAUGAAAAGGCACCAAUUCAGCUUUGAAUUGAUAUCAUUUGUGAAGUGAAAACCCAUCCCAGUGAACGAUCCUAGAGCCACUAUACUAUAGUAGCUUUGUCUUUGCUACCCUAGUAUAUGGUGUUAUAGGUUAUAAAUUUUGUUGAUUAAUCCCUCAAUCAAGGAGCACCAGCUGGACACGAAUCAGCUGAGACACCAAUUGGGCACGAAUCAAAUGGCGCCGUUGCCGGGGAUCGAACCUCGAAUCAAAUGGUGCCGUUGCCACUGCCGCUGCUAGGGACGAAUCAAAUGGCGCCGUUGCCGGGGAUGGUGCCACUUUACAGUGAUAUCACCUUUCUAGAGUACUUGUGAUCUUCAUCACAAGUUUGGUGACUUUUUUUUUUCCUUUUACUAACUCUUGUUAUUUCUUUAUUGUUCAUAUUUUAGUAUACCUUUUAUUUAGUUUUUAGUUUACCUUAAUUUUCUUUCUUUGAAUUGUUUUUCUUUUGUUUUCUUUUGUGUUCUCUGUUUUUAAUUCACAAAUUGCUAGUUGUGCAUGCCAUAUUCAAUACCAUAGCAGAGGAAGCCAUGAACUUCAUGAGUUAUGUGGCUAAAGUCUCAAGAGGAUGGGAUGAACCAAAUGCUAGAGAUAUGGGAAGAAUGAUGUCUCAACCUAAAGCUAAGGGUGAGAUGUAUAUUUUGAAUGAUGGUAUGAACAUGAAGGCAGAGAUUGCAGCUAUGGAAAGGAGAUUGGAUGAGCUAGAAAUGAACCAGAUGCAAGAAGUGCAAGCCAUCUCUCAAACACCAUUGCAAGCUAUGCCUUGUGCCAUUUGUCUAUCUUAUGAGCACUUGGUGAAGGAGUGUCCUACCAUUCUAGUCGAGAGGGAAAUGUUUGGUGAUUGCAACACCUACAAUUCCAAUUGGAGGGACCAUCCAAAUUUCUCUUGGAAACCACAACCACCUCAGUAUCAGCAACCUGCUCAAGCACCACAGCAAGCUUCAAGUCUUGAACAAGCAAUAGCUAAUCUCACCAAGGUAAUGGGAGAUUUUAUUGGAAAGCAAGAAGCCACCAAUGCUCGAGUCGAUCAAAGAAUUGAUAGAAUGGAGAGUAUGUUGAAUAAAAGGAUGGAUGAAAUGCAAAAUGAUCUAUCUCAGAAGUUAGAUAUUCUCCAAGAUUCAAUCUCAAGGCUUGCCAACCUCAACACAGUGCAAGAGAAAGAAAACUCUCCUUCUCAACCUUAUCAAAAUUCCAUGAGUAUCCAUGAAAUGGAGGCUAAGGAGGGAGAACCUUCACAAAAGAGGGAAGCCAAAGAAGUGAUCACUCUGAGGAGUGGUAAAGAGGUUGAUCUGCCCACAUGCAAGCUAGAGCAUAAGGUAGAGAGUGAAACAGAGAAAGAAAAGAGGGAGGAAAUCAAAGGAAAGAAAAAGGGGAAAAGUAUAGAGAAAGAUGACUAUGAUUUUGAUAUAGAUGAAGAACCACAGAGGAUAGUCAUCAAGGAAGAAUUGAUGAAGAAAUACAUGCGUCCACCUUUUCUCCAAGCUUUGUAUGAGAAAAUCAUACAGAGAAAGCCCCAAGUGAGGGAUGCAAGCUUCAUAUGGGAUCCGGGCAAGCUAAAUCAGGAUCAAAUUUUUUUUAUGGACUUAGUCUUUUUAAAGACUAGCUAGUCCAUAUCCUUUUGUUUUAUUUUUUUUAGUUGUUUUAAUUUUGAUUUCAAUGCUUUAAUUUUGAUUUCAAUGCUUUAAUUCUGUUUGUUUUGAUGUAAUAUAGGUUUUUGGAUGAUCAAAAUCAAGAGGAAUUGCAAAGAAAUUGAAAAAAAAAAAUCGGAGCAAAAUCGGAGCAAAAUCGGAGUCAAACGGAGCGAAAACAGGGGAGAAAUAGGGGAAAAACAGGGGUCUGCGAGAUUUCGCAGCCUCUGCGAAAUCGAAAUUUUGCUGCGAAACCAGUUCGCAACCCAAUUGCCCUCUCUGCGAAAAUUUUCGCAGCUGCGAAACCAAUUUUGGCACACGAGUGCCACUUCGCAGCACAGGAGCAUCUGUUUCGCAGCUGCGAAACGCAUUGCGAAGUGAAAAAGGCUGAUUUCGCAACAAAAGUCCCAUUCCGCAAAGGAUUUCGCGGCUGCGAAAGCACUUUUGGCACACGAGUGCCAUUCCGCAGCACAGUGACCCUCAUUUCGCAGCUGCGAAAUGGCUGCGAAAUCCCAAAAUGUGAAAAAUCCCAAUUUCACAGCCGCACCCCCAUUUCGGCAAUUGUUGGACACAUCUCGAUCACUUCCCGAAUUUAAAAUUAUGCAUGUAAUAUCUUGUUUGAAAGCUUGGGAAGUCACGAGUCCAUAGCUUCAAACGGUGCUCGAUUUGGAUUUGAAACGGAAAAGUUAUGGCUGUUUGAAGAUGACUGUGCAAACCAUGAACGGAAAUGUCGCACCUCCAUUUUGCUACUGUUGGACACAUUUUUGAAGCACUUCAUGGAGCUCAAAUUAUGCAUACGAUAUCUCGUUUCAAAGCUUGGGAAGUCAGGAGUCUAGCGCUUCAAACGGUAUGUGAUUUGGAGGUGAAAUGAAGAAGUUAUGGUGGUUUGAAGACAAGCGUGCAAAGCUGAGCGAGAAUUUCACAGCCGAUACGCCAUUUGGAAGGGUGUUUCGCAGCUGCGAAACUACUUUUGGCACACGAGUGCCAUUUUGCAGCACAGUUCCCCUCAUUUUGAAGCUGCGAUACGGCUGCGAAAUCACCUUUGAGCUGCGAAAUCACUUUUGAGCAUCGAAAUGACUAUGAAAUGAGCUCCAAGCUUCAAAAAUGGUCUGUGAACAUGCCACUUUUCUGCGAAAUGAUCUCCAAAAUUUGAAAUGGCUGCAAAAUCACCUCCAAGCUUAGGAAUGACCUUCAAAUUGCAAAAUUGAGUUGCAAAAUGGAGGAAGGUUUGAAAAAACACCUUGCAAAGCCAAGGGAAGUUGUUAAAAUGCCAUCAGAGCCCUGCAACCAUGCAUCUGAAGAGGAGAGCCCUGCGCACCUUGAGAUCACACACACUAAGCCUCUCACUCCAUUACUGACCUCCUAAAAACCAUCAAAGAUCAUAGCUCUAACUGAAAGCUCCAGUUGAGAAGACUAUGCCACCUAAGGAGACUACCAGAACAGAGGCCAAAGUCCUGAUCCAACCCAUUCAAGAGGCCACCACAGACACAUCAGCUCUACAUGACCUUACCAUAACUUGAUCAUCUCUUUAUUUUUUGUCUUUACAUAUUAUAUUAGUAUAGAUAAUUCCAUGCUUUGAUGUCUUACAUUUUGGGAUUGGAUGUAUUACUGAUGAUACAUCAUACAUAGACAUCAUUUUUGUUUAAACUUAGCAUUUUUCUAUUUCCUUUACUCACUAACUCUUAUGUUUUCUUUGAAACAUGUGGUUUCUCCUACACGACUCAAACUCCAUGUCACUCAGGAGGUACCACUUCCUCCCUAUUUUUUUAAUCGCUUUUGUCACAUUGAGGACAAUGUUCAGCUUGGUUGGGGGGAGAGUUGAGGAAGUAAGUAUUGUUAAUAAUGCUAAGUUAUUUUGGUAAUUUAGUUGCUUUUUGCUUAAUUUUAAAAAUUUUUUGCUUUAAACUCCAUGGAUAUUAAGGAUUAACUCUCAAAAUUAAAUGAGAGAAGUCGAGUUUCAACUUGAUUACAUGAGUCUUAGAGUUUGUAUUAUGCUUUUCUAAAAGUUGAUGAAUUGUUGAAACUCCCAUUAUAUGCAAACUUAUCUCUUCCACCUUAAGCUAUUCGCACACACAUACAUUAGAUUCCGGUUAUAAGAUGUGAAACUAUCUCACCCUCUAAGCUUGAGAAAUUAUAAUUUGACACCUUUAACCUCUCUUUAAUAGUGUUGGGACACCUCAUAAAGACCAAUGAGUCUUUGUAGAAAAAGAAAAAGAAAAAAAAAAAGUAGAAAAAGAAAAAGAAAAAGAAAAAAAAAAUGGAAUAAACUUCUUUGCUUGCCUUGAAACCUGAGCAUGGUCCGAAGGGGUGGCGAAAGCCUUUAAAGCCUGGUGCCCUAAGCCUUUAUUGGUUGGGAGUCACCGAUCCUCUACUUGUUACAUGGGUGAAUUGGUUAAGUUUAGUAAGUGAAAAGAAUUGUGAAUAAGAGGUGCGUUCCUAGCCUAUCAAGAGAUGGUUAAUUUUGCUAAGCUUAAAGAAAGACUUAGGUUGGGGGGAGAUGAUAGUUAUCCAUACUAUACUCGGAAGCUAAUCACAUUAACACUUAGCUUUUAGUGGAAGAAUUUGAUUUGGAUCUAUUGAGAGUGGAAAUUCUUUUGAUGCUUAAACUUGCAUAAUAUCCAUUCUUUGUACUCUAUGAUCAAGUGAAUGCUUUGACAACUCUUAUUAUAGGUUGAGUUUCACAUCUUUAUUGAUCCAUGGAUGUCCAUCAUGCCACUCAUAUAAUUUUUUGGAGUGAUUUGCAUGAUCCCUUUUAUGUAUAUUAUUAUAGUUACUUAGUUUUUAUCUCCUUUAUUGCUAAGGGACUAGCAAUAUGUCGGUUGGGGGGAGUGAUUNNNNNNNNNNNNNNNNNNNNNNNNNNNNNNNNNNNNNNNNNNNNNNNNNNNNNNNNNNNNNNNNNNNNNNNNNNNNNNNNNNNNNNNNNNNNNNNNNNNNGGAUUUCUAGAAUAGCCACACUGAUAGCUUUGGACUCUAGGAGACAUCCAUUAGUAUCUCUGCGAGCUUUGACGGGUAAUCCCAAGGUUAAAGAUCAUCUUGAAUGGUAAGUGCUCGUGAGAGGCAUGAACCAUUGCAAGUUGCAUCAGUGAGAGGGAUUUAGUGUUUGAACCCAUUAAUGGGAAGCAUCUGUACAACACCGGUUAGAGAAUUAACUAUAUGUUAAUUCUCUAAUGCGAGGAAAAUAAACAAGUGACCGGAACUCUCCAUUUUGUAUGAGGAACGAGCCUAGUGAUCUGAACUCCAAGAAACACUUUUCUUUAUAAGUAAAAUCAGUUACUACUUUUGGUUAGUUUAAAACCAAAUUCUUUUCUUUCAAACAUCUUUAUGUUUUCUUUUAAAGCUAACCUUGAAAUGAAAAGGCACCAAUUCAGCUUUGAAUUGAUAUCAUUUGUGAAGUGAAAACCCAUCCCAGUGAACGAUCCUAGAGCCACUAUACUAUAGUAGCUUUGUCUUUGCUACCCUAGUAUAUGGUGUUAUAGGUUAUAAAUUUUGUUGAUUAAUCCCUCAAUCAAGGAGCACCAGCUGGACACGAAUCAGCUGAGACACCAAUUGGGCACGAAUCAAAUGGCGCCGUUGCCGGGGAUCGAACCUCGAAUCAAAUGGUGCCGUUGCCACUGCCGCUGCUAGGGACGAAUCAAACCACAGUUACCUUGAUCAUUGAGAUGAGUUUCAUCACUUGAAGACUCUAUUUGUGAGGUAAAAGAUAAUUGAGGUGUUGUAGUUACCAAGGCAGCUUGACCAAGCCUUUCAUUAGAGGCAACAUCACGAUUUUUCCGGGCCUUGUACACAUUCCACCAGUCUGGGUACCCAUGUAACUUGAAAUAGGUUUCACGGGUAUGUUUCAUGUUCCCAUAAUGAGUAUAACCUCCUCUUUUUGAUUGGGUCUUGGCUCUGGUGUUGGUAUUUAGUUGUCCACCACCUAUAGAGCCAUUUUUGGAUAACUGCAGAGAGGGUGGUUGUUGUUAUCCUAUCUUGAUUCUUUUUUAUGCCAUAACAGCUCUAGUUGUGUCUGUACCUAUGAGCAUCACGGCCUGCCGGAUCUCUUCUCGUCGAACAUGAGCAUAGGCUUGUUCUAUGGUAGGAAAAAGACGUAUCUGUAGCACAUCACUUCGAAUCUUGUCCAGUCGAUCGCCCAAUCCAUCAAGAAAGAUAUAGACUCUGUCUUUUUAUAGGAUCGUAUUAUAUUUUUGUAUAUCAGUGGCACAAUUCAUCGGGUUAGGAUGCCGAAAAUCAAUUUCUAUCCACAAGCCUUGAAGAUCAUUGUAAUAUUUUUCAAUGGAUCCUCCGACUUUUCUCAUUUUAGUCACCCGUCUUUUUAGAUCAUAUACUUGUGAAGUAUCAGUUCCAUCAAAGUAAGCAGUAGCAACAUAAUCCCAUACCAGUUUUGCAGUUGGGAAGCGAAUGAAAUUAUUGAUCAAGGUCAGGUCCAUAGAAUUGAUCAGCCACCCUUUGACAAUUGCAUUCUCAGCUCGCCAUCGUCGAAAAGUCGGAUCUGUAGGUUCAGGUUGUAGGAAAUCACCAUUAUUAUAUCCCAAUUUGUCUUUGCCUGAGAUAUACAUCUCAACAACUUGGGACCAGAGGGCAUAGUUGAUGCCAUCCAACUUAAUACCGAUUUGUGCAGCGGAAGCAUCAUAAGUUGGUAGGUGGGUUUGAGUUUGAUUUUUGGUCAAGACUUCAGUCAUUCUUGGCGUCAAAUAUUCUAGGAUAGAAUCUGUGGAGUUGCCGCCAGUUUGUACCACAUCAUUUGGGUUCACCAUGGCUGCAAAUCAGUGUUUGGGGUUGGGUUUAGUUGUAGAGCAAGUCCUAGGAUUAUGCUCUCAUACCAUGUCAAAAAUUGCUCAUAUAUUUUUUUCAUAUAUUUCUAUACGAAGAUGAGUAUGGUUAUAUAUCAAUACAAAGAAAAAAAAAAUAGAAGCUAAAUUAGGCUAUACACAAAUUACUCCUACUAUAAUAGUUGAUCCUUAAAAGAAGGGAUUCUAACAAAUCUGGCCUAUAAUUUUUCCAAUCACUAACAGCUCACACCAACAGUUUUUUGGGGGAAGUCUCCAGAAGAAGAAUCUUUAUGUUGAGGGAGCAUGCACACCACACCGGGAAGGAGAGCAACUGUAGUUCCAAAGACUUCUGAGGCUGAGAGAGGAUGAGCAUCAUCAACAUAGAGAGUCUCUUUCUUUGGCAUUUCUUAAAAAUAAGACUUCAUCAUCAAUGGAGAAGCUCUUUUUGGCAUUCUUGGAGAAACCAACUUUAUCUCGUACAACACUAGAUGGUCGAUGCCGACUUAGUUUACCGCCAUUAGAGUUUAUCAUUACAGUCACUAGAGAUAGGAGCCACUACAGGUAUCACCAUCGUUAGAGCUCGCCAUUUUCGCCACCGGAAUCAACGUUACUACAAGUUACCACUACCAUCAGAACUCGCAAUUUCCAGUGUCGAAGAUCCAUAUAUAUCAUCAUCAUCGUCAUUAGAGGGUGAUCAUUUACAUAUGAACUACAAUCAUCAUCAUCAAACCUGUAGAUCAUCAUUCUUGUGCGAACAAUAGUUCAUCUCUAUAGCUCGUCUCCACCGGCACUGCACCUACAUCAUACCAACAUACUUAUAGUUUUGAAGCAAAGGUCUCCAUGGAAGUACCUUGCUCACAUCUGGAUUAGACCAGUAGAGUAUCACUGGUUAUUUUGCACUUAUCCAGUAGAGUAACAUUUUUUUCAUAAUCAAUUCCAUAAAAUAGAGUACAAGAUAUAGAGAUACAAGAAACUAUUUUUGGAAGCUAUUCUUUGUCUAUACAAUAUUUACGGCUACAAUCAUGUUUGACCCUUGAGUGAAGGGAUUUCUAAAUCUAAGAUUUCCAUAACUGGCUAAUUGCGGGACUCACGCUAACACCUACAUCAUACCAACACACUUGUAGUUUUGAAGUAGAGUUCUCCAUGCAUGGAAGUACCUUGCUCACAUCUGGAUUAGACCAGUAGAGUAUCACUUGUUAUUUUACACUUAUCCCGAAUCUCAUCAUCAUCGUCUUCAUCUCUUAAUCGGUAGUACAAGACCUUCAAAGUUUCGGUACACUUUAUCACCAUUGAUCGGAAGGGGCCAUCACCAAUUGAUAUUCAUCAUACCAACUCAUGUACAUCAUCCAGAUUAUAUGUGCUUCGAUUUCUCUCCAUUUCCAUAAUCGACACACGAGUUAGUUAUCCUUGACCAUUUUUUAGUUUGAAAUUAACAUGUGAAUGUCUUGUAGCAUGCAAUCAUGUUUGCCAUGAGAUUCUUUAAAGACUUAAGUUUCAAAUGUAAGAAUUAAAAAUCAAUAAAGUGGAUCAUGCAUAUACUCAGCUAGUUUUGGAGAACCAUUGUUAGUGGUCUUUGAUUGGAAAUUUCCUUUAAUGAGAUAUAUAUGGAUUAAAUUAAUGUAGUCGGUUGUGAUCAUGAUAAUAGUUUGUGUUUUUAUUUAUUUUUAUUUUUUUAAAGUGGAUAGAAAUUUGAUGUGUCUGUGUAUGGAUGUUGAAAUUCAAUGAAAAUUAAAAUGUAGCGAUUGAUUUUUUUAUUUUUUUUAUUUUUAUUUUUUUUAUGAAAAAAGCUUGUUGAAAUUCAAUAGAAAUGGAAUAUAUUGAUUGGAUUUUUUUAUAUGGAAAUGCAUGUUAGAAUAUAAUGGGAAAUAAGAUGUAGAAAUUGAAUUUUUUUUAAAAUUUUUUAUUUUAUGGAAAUGGGUGUUGGAAAUCCAAUAGAAAAUGAGAUAUCGUGAGUGAAUUUUUUUAUGUGUGCAUAUUGGAAUUCAAUGGAAAGUAGAAUAGAGAGAUUGACUUUUAUUUUUUAUUUUUAAUGAGAAUGUAUGCUAAAAGUAAUGAAAAUGCAUGCAUUCAAUAGAAUGUGAUCUAUAGAAUGAAAAAGUAAAACAUAGGAACGAAACCUUAAUGACAUGCAUAAAUAAUGAAUAGUAAAUUUGAGGAUUGUACAAACCAACCAUGAAAACAUACUAAUAAGGUUAUUGGACAUGCUUACAUUAAAUAGAAAAUUUCAAUGAUCUUACUGUUAGUGUCAUAUGAAACUUGAAUUAAUAAUAUGAAGGUUAUUGAAAAAAUUAGCGUUUUGUUCAUGUAACAAUGAAAUAAAUAUUUUAUUAAGAAAAUAAAGGUUAAUCUUAAUAGAGAAAACACCUAAGAGGGAGGGUGAAUUGGAGUUUUAAAAAAAUUCUUUUUCAAACACAAUAAAUUUAAAUAUAAGAAGCACAAAUAUAAAGAAAUAAGGUUAGAGAAAGCAAAUUCAGAUUUUAUAGAGGUUCGACACUUCCUUGCCUACAUCCACUCUCCUCAAGCUCCUAAUAGAGUAAGGGUUCCACUAUACUUGAAGCUUCAACCAAGCUUCUAAUCACUUUUACACCUGGAUUUCGGCUCAAAUGAGCUCUUACAUAAUUUCUUCAAAUCUCUAUUCACUUGAAGGUUUUAACACUCAAAUAAUAAGCCUGAAUAUCUCAACCUAGCUCAAAAAUGGCUCAAAUACAACUCAAGGCUAGGAUGAAUCACAAAGGUGUACUAAAAAUAUGCAAAUGGAGAUUUAAUGCACCAAGAAAAUAAUGAGAGCUUUUAAGGCAAGAACAAGUAGGUAAACAAAUAAAUGCAGGUGUUUUCUUCUUCAUAAAUGAAACGGAGUUCUCAAUUUAUAGGUUUGUAACCUCGGGAGCCAAAACACCAAAAAGUAGCCUUGAUCGGUUCACUAGCCGUUAGAGCAUUUAAUGCUUAGUAGGUGAUUGUUACCCUCGAUCGAACAUUGACCGGAAAGGCAUAUCCCUUGACCAAGAAUGAAAGGCUACUAAAAGAGAGAAGACUUUUUGCAACUCUCAAUCAGACCUUGACCAGGAAGGAGUAAUCGGUCGAUUGGUGUUCUAGCUGGUUGAGCAGGUUGGUCAGUGCCUCGACUAGUUCACCAUUUUUGGCCUGAAAACCUAUUUUUUUAUGUUUUUUUUUUUUUUUUUUUGCUUCUAACACUUAGGCAAGGUCUUUAGGUAAAUUAAUAUAUCAAUUUUGAAACAUUUUACCUAAGGUUGUGAUUACUACUCAAAAAUUGCUCUUUUAUAGCUUGAAAUUAACUGUUUUAAACACUUUUGAGUAGUAGUUAAUACUUUUUAACUCAAUUGGCACAUUAAGGAACCUAGCAAGGGUUACUAAUCAGUUUUUGGCUAGUUUUGGUGUUUUUGGUAGCUUUUUUAUCAUUGAAACAAACAAAGAAUGAGGGAGAAUUUUGUGCAAUCCAUGGCAAUGCAAGUUGAAGCUCAAAUACAUGAAGAAUCCAAGUUUUGGAGCACUUCAUAACCCUUUUCCAAGCUUGACAAUAGGUUGCCAAGCCAAUCAGAGAUGCAAGGAAGAAAACCAGAGGAAGAAAUCCAACAUGUAGCAAUUUCGCAUGUCUAUGCGAAAUCAAGAGGAGGAGCAGCUGCAGGACUGAGUGAAGGACAAUUUCACGCACCCUGCCAAACCACAAGAUGCAGCAAAAAUGAAUUUCGCACACCAUGCGAAAUUUCGCAUGGUCUACGAAAUCUUCCUGUGCAUCGACUCCGUUAGAUUUUUAUCUCUAGAUUUUUGUGUAAAUUACUAUUUUCUCCUUGUAAUCAACCAAUGAUAGGAUUUCUUGGUUAGGAACUAUAAAAGGGGGUUGGAAAGACCUCUCUAUAUAAUAUUUUUUUGUAUAAUCUUUUGGAAGGAUACGACACUUGUAAUUCCAGGAGGAAGAAAUAUACAGAGCCCUUGCUUUGCCUUUCCUUCUCAUUUUUGUUUUCAUUUUUCUUUCUAGCCAAACAACCUCUGAGGAUGAUUUCUCAGGGAAUGAGUGGCUCAGUUUUACGUUUCUUGGAGUGAUGGAAACUAGGUGAAGGACCCGGAUGCAAAAGUGGGAGUUUUCCUUGUUUUAAAUGAAGGUAGUUGUUAACCAUUAAUGGUUUUUAUUUCAAGGUUUAGCUUUAAAUCCCUUAGAAUCACCUUGAAUGCCCAAUACUUGGUAAGCAUUCCGAAUUCUAUGGAUGCUUAUUGCUAGAUCCAUGGAUGUCCAUUAGUUAUCAAGUACGAGCCAUUGGAAGGUGGUUCAAGGUGAGAAUCACCUUGAAUGGCCAAUACUUGGUAAGCUUUCCGGAUUCUAUGGAUGCUUAUUGCUAGAUCCAUGGAUGUUCAUUAGUUAUCAAGUACGAGCCAUUGGAAGGUGGUUCAAGGUGAGGGUCUUUAGUGUUUGAAGACAUUAAUGGGAAGCAACUACCAUUUUUCAUGAACCCUUUGGAUCAAAUCUUAAUUGCUAAAUACAAAACCGGUUUGGGAGAUAACCAUCCUUUAUGUUAUUGUCCCCAAUGUAAGGAGAAGAUCCGGAAUCUCCCCAUUUGCCUAAGGAACCCGAUCCUAGUGACCUGAAGCUCCAAGAGACAUUCUCUUUGUAGUUAACUUCAAUUGCUAUUUUUGCUUAACUUAAAAUCAACUUUUUCAACCACAAUUCCAUUUUCUUAAAAGGUGUAAGUUGAGAGGUGCGCAAUUGGGAAGGUACACAAUUUUAGUUUGUAGAAGGUGUGCAAAAUGCUUAAAAGAUGGAGGUUCACUAAGUGCUUUUAAACUAAAAAGGUGCAUAAUUCAAGUGGUGCUUCAGAGGAUGUUGGGUGUGGUGUGUCACUCUGCACAUUUUUAUUUACUUCACAACAUUAUAGUUCACAAUUUGAUUGGUGCAAAGGUUGGGUGUAGUGUGCCACUCUGCACAAGUCUAUUGCAAAUAUUAUAUUAUUAUCCUUUAAUUCACAUUUCAAAUUCUAAAAUUAUAGGUUAAUCACUUGGUAUUUUAGUUUAACCUUGGUUUUAGAAUUUGGGGUGUGACAAUUUAAGGCCAAAAUCAAUCCGAAAUCAAAUUGAAUCUUAAGACCAAAUUUACAUCCAAAACUUAGAUUUUUAUUUUUGAAACCAGAUCUUUAAAACCAAUUAAAUAUAAUGGUUAAUUUUGGUUUUUGGUUCUUUUCAAUCAAAAGCCUAUAUCCAUUAUAUAUAUAUUCAACCCUUUGAUUCAUUAAUAGUGAGAUCAAAUUGAGAUGACUAGCUAGUGAUCAAGGUCUUCCCAAGAAUCAUUAGUACCUUUGUAAGAAUCCUUUGUACCUUAUCUAAGGUGAACUAACAUAGAGGAUUCAUUCCUACCAAUUCAAACUUGAAAACAUAAUCAAACCAUUCAAUGCAUUGUUGUGUUCUUGCUACUCUUAUUUUGGAUUAUUCACUUUCAUAUUAGCAUCUCCAAAUCACAUCAAAUUAGGCAAACAUGGUGGAGGAUUUCUUCUCACAAUCCAUGUUUAGUUGCCAAGAAAACAAAAUGGAAAGUAAAAAGAAACCUAAACCUUUUAUUCAAGAAUUUCAAGAGAAGGGAGAUCGAUCUCUCUCCUAGUUCCAUAUCCCAUAAAUCCUAAAACAAAGCAUACAUAUAAGAGUCAUGUAGCAUCUUGUGAUUGGCCACUUAUUCAAAAAAUUACCUAAAAAUCACUAAGAAUAAUAAAAUUACAAUUUCUAAAUGUUUGAGGCCCACUUUAGGUUGGAGAAGUGCCAAAACUCAAAAAUUUCAAAGGAUUACAACUGACUUCAAAUUGAGCAAGGCACAUAUAUGUCAAAAUUUUCCACAUGGAUUUCAAGAUAGGAAUAGAAAAGAAAAAAUGUGACUUAGAAAUUUGUUGGAUUCCUUGUGAUCAAAAUUUUUGACAUGUUGAAAAUUUUCAAGUUAACCUUUUGCCCCCAUGUUUUCUUGCUUCAAUUGAUUCGUAGUUUCAACUCUCUAAUUCAUGAAUUUUUUGAAGCAUUGUAUUUUUUUGACUUCUUGAGAUUCAAAAUUAUAUGUGAAUUUAUCCAAAAAGAUCAUGGGAAGUGUUCCAUAAUUUACCUUAAAAAGGCAGAAUGUUAAUUAGCCCUUGAAUCUCCUCAGCAGCUUAAAUAAUUGAUUGCACAACAAUAUUAGACCAACUGAAGUGGCUGGUGAACACGUGCUGAGAUUUUUAUUUAGACUUCAGAAUGUAGUAGGUAAGUGCAUUUGAAGCCACAUCGGUGACCCGUGGAAGGUCUAUUACCCUAGCCAAAGUGCUGUAAAGUGUUACUAAGGCCAUAAAUUAAUUGUUAGUUUAUUCCCUGAAAUUAAGCUUUAAGCUUUUGAAGUAACUUAAAGAACCCCAGUCUCCUCCAAAGCCAUGGCUAACCACUUUUCUAUAUCAACGUGGGUGAUCAAAGCCCAUCAGUUACCUAAAAAUACCUAACAAUCAGCACUGAGUCAAUUAAGAGAGACCUGAUCAUGAAAUUACCAUCUGCAGAAUCUUAUAGAUCCCAUGUUUUUUGGUGAAGUUCUUUGGAAGUAAUCUGGUAGAGCACUUGAUUCAAAAAUGGAAGUUCAUGACAUAACUAGGCUCUUGUUUAAAAUAAACAGAUGCUUUAUGUAUUGAAAGAACUUUAUGACCUUCAAUCAGUUAUAAGCAAGGAGAUGUUCAUUGAGCUGCUGGCACUAUCAGUGUUAGGUCAUGCACGAUCAAAGAUUUUGGUAGCUAGUGAUCAAUUAGGGAACCAUAGUUUUCACUAUUCCAGCAUCCGUCAAAACCACAAGAACUAGAUCUUCUAUACAACUUGCUGGAUCCCAAGGUUACUUGGAAUAAGAAGCAGGAAGAUAAUGAAUACUCAAAAGGAUUUCAUUUCUUACACCAUAAGAGAUGCCUAGCCAUUUGACCCAUCAAUUUGUUUAAUAGAAAGUGAUCCAAAAUGACCAUGACUAUUUUUGUCCUCAUAAGAUAAUGCUUUUAAUAGGUAAGAUUUGGCCCUCCUACAAUUUAUUAUUGCUUCGCUAAAAUAUAUUUUCUUCAGUACCAUGAAUUAAUGUCUAUAUGCACACUAAUCUCAAAACUCUGCUAUCUGUGAAUACCACACAAACCACAGUUUCUAAGAUCUUGGAAAGAGAAAUAUUGCCAGCUUGAGGUUCUGGGUGUGCCUCAUCUUGGUUGUGCUUUCAUUUGUGAGGACUGAACCUUGCCUCUCAGUCCAUUUAUAGAAGGAAAUGGCACAAAAUCCUUAAGUGCCUUCUUAGAGCAAGCCAAAGAAGAGUUCAAGGAACACUUAGAAGGGAAGAUACCAAUAGGAAUACGUACAAGCUUAAGCGACAGAGGUCUGGAGGCCCAGCCCCAAGCACUACUCUACGAAUGCAUAGAAAGUUCUGGUGGAGUUGCUAAUUGAAUAUCAUGAUAUGAAAAGAAACCUUUUCGUAGUUCUUCGUGUGAUAUGCAUGCAAUAAUGUUUAGUUCAUUGAAAUAAACAGGAGACAAGUCUAUUUUCAAGCUGCUCAUGUUUAAUCGUACUCAUCAGAGAAGUGCAUGUUACCUAUUUAAUAAUCCUACUGUUUGUUAUAUACUUUCACCAAAUAUCCCAUGUAUUGCAGGGACAUUUUCAGAUUUCAUUUAGGUGCCCCUCUUUUUAAUUUUACCUUAUGUGUGGCCUGCAUUUUCCAGCUCCAGUUUAUAGAGUAUAGAUGCUGGUGGAUAUAAUCCAUAUUUUGCUUUAUCGACUCCAGUUUUUUAUGGUACAUACCAUCCGGUCGCGCAAUAUGAAGCAAAAUAAGAAGGCAUCCUACUCCAGUUUAUAAAGUCAAGCCCACUCUGUUUAUUACACAUUGAUGAGCCAUGUUGAACCCUAAAAUACACUUUUUACAAUGGAUUAAGGAACGUAGACAGCGACAUUCUUCACUCUUGCAUCAUGAAGACAGCCGGAAUUAAUGGCUCUAGCAAACUAUGGGUAUAACUUAGGUUUUCCUAUAAUCACAUGUCAAUGAACCGCAUAUCCUACUCUAUAUUGCUUAUGAGGUAAUGAGUCUCAUUCUCUCCACAGCACUGUCUACGAAUAUGAAUUUGUAGUUUCAAAUUCUUUUUGUAGUUUCAAAUUCUAUGUAAAAUGUAAGGAGAAUAGCGCAAUUGAGAUUGCUGUCACCAAGAAAAAGUCCAUCAAUUUAAGCAAAUCUCUGCAAAAAUAUUAUCCAGUACAUUUUGUUGGUAACAAAUUUCCUAUAUAUGCAUGUGAAUGGAUGCUUUCUUCCCUCCCAAAUUCCUACACCUUGUUUGAUAUUCAAACCCUUGGUCUUUAUGGGCUCCAUCAACAAAACAGUGAUGUAGUAGGCCAUAUGUGAUCUGAUUGAAAUAAGAAUUUGUGUUUCAACUGGACAAUUCUAUUGAUGAUAUGCAUAAGUGUAGCCUAGCUAGUGGCAUCAUUUUUAUCUCAGAGCACUAGAAAAUAAUAACCAGUGAAAAAAAAAAAAGGUGGUAUCUUUUGAUAAUGGAAUAUAUCCAGUGGAUGGAUAACUGAAGAACUGGCCAGCAUCCAACGACAAGCGGCCCAACCAAUGGUUGUUCUUCUUGAGCUCAGCAUUGGUUUCAAUUACUGAUAAUAUAUCACCAACUGUCUUUGCAGUCAGUGACUCUAGAGCUAUCCUUUUAUGAUAAUGACACAACAGUUUUCAAUCCUCUUGGUAAUUGAUCUUUUAUCUACCAGCAUAGGAGAGUGACAAGGAACAGCCAAAACAAGGUGAAUCUUUGGUACCUCAUUGGCAAAAGCUUCCUAGGAUAAAGUUCAGUAAUUGAAAUGGUCCUAAACUUUUCAUGAGGGAUCUGUCUAUGAUGGACACCUCAUUUUUUUUUUAAUCGUUUUGAUCCUGUGAUACUGAACUAGGUCAUUAAGCCAAUACGAAAAGCUGCCAUUCCACGUAUGAAGACAAAUAGAUUUUGUGGAUUGAAUUAUAUCCUCUCCCCACUAGGUUUAAGAUAAAGAAAAAAGUAUAGCCAAGGAGAUCUAUAUAUACUGAAACCUCCCAGCUUAGAAUCACACCACCUACUGAGUAAGAACCCGGGAGGAGAAUGGCUAUUUUGAAGUUGUUCAUGUGCAGGAUCUUGGUCCUGCUCUCAUCUGCAAGGACCCAGCCUCGCCCUCUCAAUCCACAUGUAGAGAGCAGGAACCUAAGCCCAUCAUUCCAAGCCUCCAUUGACGUUUCCAGAGAAGCAUUUGAGGUAAAAACGAAUGGAGGAAAUACAAUGAAAACUCAGAACAACCAGCUUGUGCGACUGAGUCCUGGAGGACCUGACCCUGUGCAUCACCCUUAAAAUUACCAAGAUGGAACUUUCCCUUGGACCAAUAUUUUGUAAUGCUGCUUGUGAUUGAAUGCAUGUAUUUCCAAUAAUUUACCCAUGGCUGAAAAAAAAUGCACUUCAAUCUUACUAAAUUGCUGUUUAUGUUUCUAAAUUUAUCUUUCGAAGAUAUGGGGAUGAAAGGGAAGCAGUCCUAAAAAGGUUACCAGCUUCUUUGGUAAUGUUCUUAUCCAUAUUAUACAAAAAGACAAUGAGAAGAAAGAAUAUAGGCUAUCAUCAACCAGCUAGUAGAAAAUUUACACUUGGAUGUCCAUAUUCUAAUCCAUGCUUCAAAUUACAAAGCAUCACUUUAGUCCACAUACUCUAGGCAUUACAUGUGUGGACCCUAGGAUCUGCGAUGCAUGCAUGGUAAGUGCUAAGAAUAGAAACCGUACUGUAGUACCCUCAAGAUGGGCUAACUAUAUCAAGCAAAGAGUUCAUGAUCCAAGGGUACCGAGGAAGUACAGAAUUCAGGGUUUGGAAAUAAAGGCUCAAACAAAACCUGGUAUAAGCCUGCUCGCACGAGUCCUGGAGGACCCGACCCUCAGCACCACUCCAAAAAUCAGUAGCAAGGAACUCUUGGCAGAGGUGGUUGUGAUAUUUUGGCAAAUGGAAGUGAUUUGUGGUAAAUUAUUAUGGCCUUGCCUUUCGUGAAUGCUUGUAUCACCGAUGCUAACUCUGUUAGAAGUUAUGAAUAUCGAAUAGGGUAAUGCUGCUUAUUUAAGAAUGCUUGUGGUGAUGAAGUUUUAUUGCCAUUUAUUUUUUAUACUUCCGAGCAUAUUAAGAAUUGACUAUCGCUUUCAUGCUUUAGUUUAGUGCAUGAAAAGAAACAUUUUGAUUAGCAUCAAACACAAGCGCAUCAUAGUUAUCGAUAACAGAUUCGUAGUGCCCUACCAGAAGUGACUAUUGAUAACAUAAAGAACUCAGAACACAGAAUCUACCCUCACCUUUGACUUCACUUUUCCUAGAAAAGAAAAAAAUAUGUGGGCGGCUUCCUAAAGUCAUUUUACAUAUAAAAUUUAUCAAAGCCAUUGAUCAGGAUCAACAAAAUUCUCGAGUAAAUCACUUAUCAUGGAUAAAACAUUGAGAUAGCUAAGGGCGGCAUUGAUAAUUAUGAGCAAAUGAGACACACCAGUGAAACCACCACACAACGCCCUAUGCACAUAUAAAGGAUACAAGAGAAGCAUUUUUCUUUGUUUUAUGCGUGGAGCACCAUCAACAUGAAAACAAAAUCACUUCCAGGUACUGCCAACUUAGAUUAAUAUUAUAUGGAGAAGCAUCCAACUUAGAUUAAUAAAGGCAAAUUAUCUUUUGCACUUUUUAACUGUUAAGCAUAAGCAUUUUAAUGAGAACCUUUUUCAUGAUUCACCGGUUGAAGGCCAAGUGGGAUGUACGAAUCCACUAGAAGGUUCUGGCGACUGUGGACUGAUGGAGCAUUUCUUUUAUCUUUAACUUAGCUAUCCCAUGGUUCCCAAGGUUUUGCAUGGUUGGGGUCUCUACCCGUUCUAUAUGUGAUAUUCAGAAGAUAUAAAUAGAAUAAGGCAUGCUACAAUUAUACUUCUGAUCACACAAUUUUAAGAGCUCGCUAUCAAUAUUGGGCUUAGCCUGAUCAGUUUGACCUUAAUUAACGACAGGAUUGCAUGCCCAGCAAACUUGGCUUGCCCGGAAAAUGCUCAUUAUGUUGGGUUAUCUCCUUUUGUUUUUUGUUUUUUUUUUGCUUUUUUACUUUGCAAUGCUCUCCUUAAAAUAUUUCUUCUAACCCGACUUCUUAAAAUAUUUCCCUCUGCUUUAGGUUUCUUUGUUCCCUUUGACUUGUGGUUUUAUUGAUGGAGGUGGCACGACUAUCUUGUAGUCCACCAAACAGUUUGCUACAGUCAUUGCAACAAGAAGGUCGCACACCCCUUGCCUUUUGCAAUUUAGUUUGGACUCACCCCUGUAACCCAAACAUAAGGUUAAACAAUCUGUCUUCCUUAAACACAUUUUUGAUAUGCAGUAUCGAGGAAUUGAACUCCUUGACAUACCCUCGCAUAGAACUAGUGUGCCUUCUUAGUCUCUUCAAGGAUUCUUGAGCCAACCAUGUGGUAUUGGUGGGUAGGAAUUAAUCUUUCAAUUCCUUCUUAAGAGUCUCCCAGGUGAUGAUCUAGGGCCUUCUUGACUUAGUAUUAUCCUUGGCUUUGGUCAGUCACAAUAGCUUUGUAUUACUAGUAAGGUACAUAUUGGUGAUAGUGACCAUUUCUGUCCCGAGGAUUUGAGCAGCUUUAAACUAUUGCUCCAUAUCCCAUAAAAAGUUCUCCAACUCCUUGGCAUUUCGGUUGCCAUUUAAGCCCUUCAGUUCUAGGACACAAACUUUGGAAGGGGCUUUCAAACUCGAUGGAGUUCCUUGUAGCAUUACCUUCUUGAGAAUUGUUAUGUCUUCCUUAAAAGAUUACCAUGAAGUCAUCUAGUAAGGCUUUGACGUCUACUUUCAAACUUGCCACGUUGUCUUGAAUGAAUUUGUCGUGGAACUCCUACAAAUUCCGUUGUACCAAGAUUUCUUCCUUGGUGUGGUUUGCCUAUAGCGACAUAGUGCCCUUAUCACCUUACCAUUCUCCUAACAAUUCUUCCAAUCGAAAAAUCCUUUCUCUUAGAGGUUUCGUAGCACUUCUCCCAAACAUUCCCUUGUUGGACUUUGAUACCAACUAUCACGGGCACAAAAUUUCCAUGCAAUUUUUCACGUCCAUAUGUGCUUAGAAGCCCUCUAAGCUAGCCUACUCUAACCCACAUGAGAUGACAACAAAAAAUAACCCUCAAGACACAUGAGAUUACAAGGCUCAAGUCCCAACUUGUAUUUUAUUUCCUCCCUGAAUAAUAAUACAAGGCAUAACUUAGCAAGACCCUCACAAUAAAUCUAGUGAGUUUGUGCUUAUGUUUCUCCUCUCUCUUUACUAGGAGGCUCUCCAAGCCUCAUUUUUUUUAUAGGUGUGGCACCACUCACUCCCUAUUUGACUAAGAGUAAACAAUCCUAGUUCUAUUCAAACUACAAUUACAAUAAAAAAUUGAACUCUAUUCAAACUCAAAUUGCAAUCCCAUUUUGAAUCCGACUCUGAGCUUUCAAAUGACUAUGGCCCAUUCCUCAUCCAUUUGAAACUCCUUAUGUUGCUGCCUCUUGCCUCUAUCCAUGUACCAACCCUUCAAGUCUCUGAUUUGUUGUGCAACUCGUCUUUCUUGGGCUUGCCCUAAUGCUAAGAUGUCUUAAGACAACUUGUUGCAUGCAUCUCUAUGUAGUUCAUGUGCAUGGCAAGCCCUCUCUUGGCCUGAACAUCUAGAUCACGUCCAUGCUAAGACAACAUGCUUCUACAUAUGUCUUAUUGCUACUAUGACACCAUAUCAUGGUUGAGCCCUCUCCUGCUGCAGCAACGAGUCUUGAUGUUGUGCUCAUGACUCUUUAUCUCCACAAAAAAGGCAUUGCCCCUUUGUACCAAGCAUUAGGCAUCCCAUCUCAGUUGGCUUCAUUGUUGCUACAUUGCUAUACCUCAUCUAAGUCCAUCUUGAUACUACAACAAGCCAUGGCAUUGGGCCCAUGGCUCACCAAAUCACCUCAUUGCAUAAGGCAUUUCACUCUUGUGCCAUCUUGUCAUGUCAUAGGUCACUCAUAAGACCAAGGUGUUGUCCCAUAAGGCCUUGGUGUCGCAUAUGCUUGGUGUCAAGGAGCUAAUAAUAAUCUUGUACUUGAAAAAAAUAAAAAGCAAAACGUUGUUCCCCUUAUCAAAUGGAGAAGCCAAAUAAAAUCAACAACACCAAUCAUUAAUAAGUUAAUUUGGCUUCAUAAUGUUUUAGUAUUUGGAAUUCAAAAACUUUAUAGCCAUUAUAUUCAUUUUUUGAUAAUUAAAACACUACAUGUAUUAUGUCAUCACUUUUGCAUAUUGCAUAAAAUUAUCGUCUUUCUAGUAAACUUAAUUUCAUUCAACAAAAUUUCAUGGAAUUCAUCCAAGUUGGGUUGGAUCCAUAUGUUUGCACUAACUUUAGUAAGAGAGUAGUAAGUAAAAAUAAAGGAUAUCAUAGAAAUAAUGGAUUAACCCUCAAAUUGUGGACAGAGAAAGGAAAUUGACUAGAAGCAGUUAUAUUGUGUUUGUCUUUUACAUAGGGUUAUUGACUACAAAGCUUAAUUAUUACUAUGGGUUAUUUCUUAAUUUAUGCUUUUUCUUUGAAAAUCUAUGAUAAAAUACGCACUUAAUUAAUUUGUAUACAUGCUCACCAUCGUAAUCCAAGUCCAGGUCUUCAUCAUGGAUAUGCCGUGGAGCUGAUCUGGUAUCUCUAUCCAGCAGCAUGCAGAACAUAUGAACGUUCGGCCAAUCAGCAAAUUAUUGUAAUUAAUUACUUGCAAGAGAUCAACAACGGCCUUGUGCAGGGUGAGGCACGUUUGGGACUUUAUUGAUGGAAUCCACUGAUAAAAAAUUGGGUUGGUCAAUGGACUUUUCAGUUGGCAUCAGCAUUUAUGGAGGUUUCCAUCGUGUAAUCAACUCCUUUUUCUCGCUAGAAUGACAUUGCAUUUGGAUUAGACCAAGGAGGGCCUUCGUGUGUCGUUUUUGCUUUCAAGAAAAUCAACACAGCUUGUCCAUAUUGUCGAAACCUCCAUCCAAUUCUCAUGAAUAUUCAUGCAUUCUGCUAGAAUGAUUUUAGCUCAAGGCAGCUUGAACAAGACAAGAUCAAAUUUUGACACAAGUCAGCUCGUUUGUUUGGGAGCUAAUAUAUAAAAUGCUAUAACUUGGAAGUUAGUUGAAAGCAUGGGAAUGGACAGUGGGGUAGAAGAGGCAAGAGGCCAAAAAAUAUGAGUCUCUUCCGCAGCGAAAAGGAAAUCCUUUGUGGAGGGUAACCCUCCAUUACUAGCAGCCCGCCCCUGGUUUUCUAUAUUACAAAUGAUAGAGAUGGUGCAUCGAAUGCAGGAGGCGAUUGGAGAAUAAAGAUAGAGAAAGAAUUCAAAUUGAAUGAGCUAAUUUUAAUGGGUACACCUCAGACAUCCGCAUAAAUUAACUAUUCAGAAAAUUUGUUUCUUUUGAUAUGAGUUAAUAGGUCAAUGACAUGGGCAUGUCAUACAGUUGUUAGUCACAUUAAUGCAUGUCCACAACCGCCUUAUAGGUUCAAAGAUAAUAUUGUGCUAUUCAAUUUGGACUUCCUUUAGCUCCACUUUGCUUCAAAUAAAAUGAAAGCAGCCGCCCAUCCCCUAGCUAUAUAUAUCCGACCAUCCUAACCUUGAAUUCAUAAACAAUCUUUCUCAAAUCCUCAUGGCAAGAUUAAGCUUCUGGGUGUGUGUUAUCUUGAUCUUUCACUUAUUUUUGAGCUCGGAGCCUCGCCCUCUCUAUCCGCAUCCGGAGAGGAGGAACCCAAACCAAUAUGGUGCGGUACUGAAGGGUGCUAAAGGCCAUUUCAAAAUUAGUUGGGAAAACGAGGAAACAGACCCAAUCCAGUACCAGCCCGCGCGAACUAGUCCUGGGGGACCUGAUCCAAAGCAUCACGUUUAAGAGUCCUUGGAAGGAUCUUCCAGCAGAGCUAGCUGCAGGCGUUCUGCAAGGAUUGGAAUGUAGAAAGCUUUUUGUAUUGCUACUGCUAAUAUUUAUGUACGUUCCGUGGAUGCAUGUACGGCUGGCCAUUUCCUAAUGGUUGAAAUGCAUGCAUUUACUAAAUAUAUGAAACUCAAUAGAGCAGUAUAUAUAAUAAAAGACUAAUUUAAAUUUAGAUAUUGCAAAUACAUAUAAAAGCCUUGCCAGAGAGGAUGCAUGCAGCAUUGAUCUAUCUUAAUUGGCAUUCUUCUGUGAUUUGAACACAUCGAUUUUGAUGUAGAAUAUGCCGGUAAUGAUAUCUAAAUUGCAAAUUUGCAAUGGCUAUGCAUUCUAAACCUGGAGAGGCUGAAUCAGAAUAACGAGAUGCAAAGUUUUAUGGUGGAAAAUGAAAAAGCACCCCACAUUAAUACUAGUUUGGCAGAGUUUCUGUCAUUGUACUGAUCAAGAGGGUGUGUAUGCGCACCUCCUUUUACACUUCCUCAUAUUUCACCAGAACCCAAGCCUCCAACUACAAAAAUCCAUCACUGCUCAAAAAGUCCUGCAAAAAUACUCUUGACUCCAACAAUCUGGAAAUUCAACAAUGUCCUUCAUGCUAGCUACAAAAUUUUUUUAUAAUCAUCUCAGAGUGUUGUAAAACUACCACUACCAAUCCAGGUUGGCGGGCAAUGAAAGUAUUUUCCAUUUUCUGCUAUCCAAUUGUUCUAUGUUCUACCAAAAUUGGAUUCUCAUGCACUCUUUAUUGGAUUGUGAAACGUGAAUCAGUCUUGUUGUGCUAUGCAGAAGAUAGUAGGGACCGAUCCUACGUUAAAGAAUCCAACUGAUAUGUUAACCAAAACAAUGAUAACAAAGAAAUUGGAGUUAUGCGCAACUUCAAUGGGUCAAGUGUGAAGUCAAGAUUGUUUGAGCGCAUCAUUUUCACUAAACAAUAAAGGAGGAUGUUUACUUGUAGUCUUCAAAUGAAAGAUCGUUAGAUUAUGAGGCUUUAAUCAUUCUUGUUGUAUUAUAGAGAAGAUGUAAUUGGAUAAUUUUUUAUUUAUUAAAUGAUGGAUUUGCUCUUAUUAUAUUUAAUCUCUUUUAUGAUAUAGACUUUUAUAAGAGAGAGAGAGAGAGAGAGAGAGAGAGAGAGAGAGAGAGAGAGAGAGAGUAUACAGCUACAAUUGAGAGGAAGAAGAGUCUUUAGUAUUGUAAUAUUCUUAUUUUCCUAUUACUAGUAAAUUUUUUAGUAUUAAAGUAUUUCGUGAACAUAAGAAUCAUAUUAAUCGUCAAAACGUCAAAACACGUUAAAAUCUCUCAUUUUCUCUUAUUACCACUCGUGUGUGGCUUAUUGCUCUACCAUAUUAACACAAAUACGUGGGAUCAUAUCACUAACACAAACACGUUAAAUUUUUUGGACUUUUGCUGGAUCACUACCAAUGUAUAUACAACUACAUGAUCACUUUAAAAGUGCUAAAAUUGCCAGAUAAAUGAACUACUAAAUUAAUAAAGUCAAAUUCCUUUUGAAACUUGCCAACUACUGUAAAGAGAUUAACAAAGAGUUUUUGUUUGAUUUAUCCAUUUAGGCCGUGUAACAUGUGAUGAUCCACUAUAAAAUAUUUGACUCAAAAAGUAUUUGUUUAUCAUGAUAGAAUUAUAUUUCGACCGAAUUUCAAUUAAUAUUGCCCAUCCGAGCUCCAGAUUGUGGGUGCUGGCUGGAGUGGGAGGCCAGAGUAUCAAAUUUAAAGAUUCUAAUAGGUAGGGCUGCCCAGAGUGCUCAAACAAGGCUUGGAGUGGGAGAAUGAGGUACCUCAAAGCGUAAAAAAGACACCACCAAACUCUAAAUUAAAAUUUGUAGUACUACACUAUAUUGUGAACAGAUGGUAUAUAUACUAAUUUAAAUUGUAUAGAUAAUGGGCUCAUUUUCCAUUAUGAUGUUUGAACGAAGAAAAGGCAGAAUGUUAAUAAGCCCUUGAAUAUCCUCAGCAGCUUAAAUAUUAUACCGACUAAGUGGCUGGUGAAGAUUUUAAUCUAAACUUCAGAAUGUACUAGGCAACUGCAUUUGAAGCCACAUUGGUGACCCGUGGAAGGUCUAUUAUCCAGGGCUAAGUGCUGUAAAGUAUUACUAAGCCCAUAAACAUUAAUUGUUAAUUCAUUUCCUGGAAUUAAGCUUUAAGGUUUUGAAGUAUAAUUUUUAGUUUAACAUAUAUCUUAUAAGAUAUUUAGAGUAUGUUUGCCCGUAUUUUUAUUCGAAAUAUUUUUAAUAGAAGUGUUUGUAGAAUAAUUACCUAUCAAUUUUUUUUCCAGAAAAUACAAUAAGUAUUUUUUUUAAUAUUAUAAGUAUUUUAUAAAAUUUUAAAAGUGUUUUUUAAAUUUUAUUAAACAUAUAAUUUUAUUUUUAAAAACACGUUUUAAAUUAAAAACGUUUUCUAGAACAUAGAGGAAUUUUAGUUCGUUCAAAUCUUAGUUGGAACCUCCUAAUUUUUUUUUUAAAAGACACUUUUUAAAUUAAAACUGAUUCCUAGGAUCAGUGACAAAAGUAAUCUUAGUUCGUCCAUGUCUUAGGUGGGAACCUCCCCACCUGAUUGAUCUACCAUUUUAUGGAACACAUGUAGAAAGUAAAGGAUCCAUUAUUGUUGCCCAACAGGAGAAGUGUCACUUCAACAUGGAGGCUGCUUUUCAGAGUUCAAUCAAUGGCAGUAGAAUUUAAGUAUAUAAUGUCAGUUAAGAUGUAGCAGAUCUCAAUAAUGGUACCAUAAGGCUAAAAUGGGAUACAGAAAUGAUCAGACCAAUUAAUAGAAUUUGACGAUUAAUGGAAAAUGGUGUGAGAAGCCAUACAAAAGAACAGGUCAGAAACCCUAGACGGGAAAGAAUAAAGAAGCCCAGUCUCCUCCAAAGCCAUGGAUAACCAGUUUUUUCUAUACUUAGGUGGGUGUGGGUGAUCAAAGCCCAUUUGUUACUUAAAAAUACCUUAUAAUCAGCACUGAGCCGAGAGAGACCUGAUCACGAAAUUACGAUCUGGAGAAUCUAAUAGAUCUUUUUUUUUUUUCCUUUUUUUUUUUGUGAAAUCCUUUGAAAGUAGUCGGCCGGUUGAGCACUCGAUAAAAAAAAAAAAUAGAAGUUCAGGAGUUAGGUCAUGCACUAUCAUUGAGUUGUUUGCACUAUCAUUGUUAGGUCAUGCACGAUUUGUUACAUACAACUCAAAUAUCCCGACGUAGGGAAACUUUCAGAUUUCAUCAAGUGCCUUCGUUUUGAAUUUUGCCUUAACACUAAUUGUGAGGACUGCAUUUUCUAGCUCCAGUUUAGAGCAUUGGUGGAUAUAAUCCAUAUUCUGCUCUAUCAACUCCGGGUUUUAUUUUUUAUUAUUUAUGAACAGACCAUCCGGUUACACAAUAUGAAGCAAACUAAGAAGUGAAGCUGGUGUAAAGACAUCCUACUCGAGUUUAUAAAAGUCAAAUUCCCUACGUUGAUUAAACAUUGUUGAGCCAUGGUGAACCCUAAAAUACACGUUCUUCUCUUGCAUCAUGGGCAUUCAAUGGCUCCAGCAUAGUUGAACGACAUCCUACUCUAUAUUGCUUGUGAUAAUGAGUCCCAUUCUCUCCACAGCACUGUCUAUGAAUAUGGACUUGUAUCUUCAAAUUCUAUGUAAAAUGUGAAGAGAAUAGCGAGAUUUUUGUCAUCAAGAAAAAGUCCAUCAAUUUAAGCAGAUCUCUGCAAUAAUAUUAUCCAGUAUAUUUUGUUGUUAACAAAUUUCCUAUGGUAGUAGAAUGGAUGCUUUCUUCCCUCUCACAUUCCUACACCUUGUUUGAUAUUCAAGCUAGCCCCUUGGUCUUUAUGGGCUCCAUCAACAAAACAGUGAAGUAGUAAGCCAUGUGUGAUCUGAUCCGACAUGGAAUUUUUUGUUUCAACUGGACAAUUCUAUGGAUGAUAUUCACAAGUGUACGUAGACUAGUGGCAGCAUUGUUAUCUCACAGCACUAGCGAAUAUUAACCAGUGACAAAAAAGAGUGUAAUCUUUUGAUAAUGGAAUAUAUCCAGUGGAUGGAUAACUGAAGAACUGGCCAGCAUCCAACGACAAGCUGCCCAACCAAUUGUUAUUCUUCUUGAGCUCAGCAUUGGUUUCAAUAACUGAUUAAAUGUCACCAACCGUCUUUCCAGUCAGUGAAUCUAGAGCUAUCCUUUUAUGAUAAUGACACAACUGUUUUCGAUCCUCUUGGUAAUUGAUCUUUAUCUACCAGCAUAGGAGAGUGACAAAGAACAGCCAAAGCAGGAGUGAAGCUUUGGUACCCCAUUGGCAAAAGCUUCAUAGGAUAAAGUUGAGCAAGUAAAAUGGUCCUUGAUAUCUUUAAUUUAUAAUGGACACCUAAUUUUUUCUAUUGUUUUGAUCUUCUGAUAAUGAACUAGGCUGUUAAUCCAAUGCGGAAACUGCCAUUCCACGUAGGAAGACGAAUCAAAGUUGUGGAUUGAAUCAUAUCCUCCCCUCCACUAGGUUUAAGAUAAAGAAAAUAGUAUAACCAAGAAGGUCUAUAUAUACUGAAACCUCCCAGCUUUGAAUCACACCACCUAGUGAGUAGGAAUUCGGGAGAAGAAUGGCUAUUUUGAAGUUGUUCGUGUGCAGUAUCUUGGUCUUGCUUCUGUCUGCAAGGACCCAGCCUCGCACUCUCAAUCCACAUGUAGAAACCAGGAACCUAAGCACAUUAUUUCAAGCCUCCAUCAAAGUACCCAGAGAAGCAUUUGAGGUAAAAAUGAAUGGAGGAAAUCCAAUGAAAACUGAGAACGGCAAGCCUGUUCGACUGAGUCCUGGAGGACCUGACCCUGUGCAUCACCCUUAAAAUAAAUAAGAUGGAACUUUCACUUGUACCAGUGUUUUGUAAUGCUGCUUAUGAUUUUAUGCAUGUAUUUCCGAUAAUUUAGCCAUGGUUGAAAUAAAUGCAUUUCCAUCUUACUAAA
rnacentral:lncRNA from 1 species